UACGUAGGGGGCAAGCGUUGUCCGGAAUCAUUGGGCGUAAAGAGCGUGUAGGCGGUCCGAUAAGUCGGCUGUGAAAGUCAAGGGCUCAACCCUUGAAUGCCGGCCGAUACUGUCGGGCUAGAGUCCGGAAGAGGUGAGUGGAAUUCCUGGUGUAGCGGUGAAAUGCGCAGAUAUCAGGAGGAACACCAAUGGCGAAGGCAGCUCACUGGGACGGUACUGACGCUGAGACGCGAAAGCGUGGGGAGCAAACAGG
rnacentral:rRNA from 1 species